CUCUCCCAACCUCCUAGAUUCAAGGAAGGGAGCUGAAACUCUCAGAAGAGAUUUAAUGCACUCCACAGUCGAGAUCUCUUCAGCGCUGAAGCCACCCACAGAUCUUUUUGGGGGAAAAACACAGACUUCCUGUGUAAGAACUUGGUGCCUCCACUCUUAAAUCAUCGCACACGUACUCCAUCGUUUCAUCCCAGCUAUUUUUAAGGACGCAUCACGUAAAGGACACUUUGCCCCCCACAUCAGGGGGAAAAUUCUUAAAAUGAUGGAGCAUGAAUGGAGCCAAAUUACCUAAUGAAACAAUUAUUUUAGCAGCAUGGAUUUAUUUGCUAGCUCCUGUCACCAUACUGCACCCUCCAUGUCCACUCUUCCAGAGAAACCAAGUCUGUUUUGUCCAGCCCCAAGUCCAAGCCAUGCAUUUCCAAACCAGAGUCUCUCCUACAUGAUUGUCUGGUUUUCCAAGACGUAACUCCAUGAUGAUACCGAUGAACUCACAAGCUGGAUUCACCAGUCCCCCCUUACCUGACUGCAGAGCACACAUCAAGAAGGUUAUAUCACCUGACUUGACCCUGCUAGAACAAGGGUAAUAAAAUAUCGAGUUAUUUCAGCUUUCAAUGUAAUAAUAUGUUGCUGAUUAUAAUUUCACUUCUAGAAUUAUGAAGAUCUUUUUUUGCAAGAAACAGAAUCCAUCAGUUCAGUUGAUCGCUUAUUCCAAUGGUUCAUUUUCCUCCUCAAAAAAUUGAUGUCUUGUUUCUCAUUUGAAUAGCUCUAAUUUUAAUUAGAAGGCAUUGGCUUUUGUUGCUAAAUUAAACAGUGCCUUGCCUUUGAUCUGGUACAUACUGCACUGCACAGCCCUUGCUAAACAAAACAGAAAGAUUUUUAAAUCUCUCA